GACAGAGGAUGCAAGCGUUAUCCGGAAUGAUUGGGCGUAAAGCGUCUGUAGGUGGCUUUUUAAGUCCGCCGUCAAAUCCCAGGGCUCAACCCUGGACAGGCGGUGGAAACUACCAAGCUGGAGUACGGUAGGGGCAGAGGGAAUUUCCGGUGGAGCGGUGAAAUGCGUAGAGAUGCGGAGGAACACCAGUGGCGAAAGCGACUUUCUGGUCCUUAACUGACGCUGAGGCGCGAAAGCAUGGGGAGCGAACGGG
rnacentral:rRNA from 1 species